rnacentral:lncRNA from 1 species
AUGGCCGAUCAUCAUCAUCAGGUUAAGACUUCCUUCCUCUUUAUUCGACUGCAGUCGCCCUCUAAGGCCCAUGACCUGCCGUAUCCUGCUGACACUGCCAGCUCCAUCGCCACAGAGGAAGGAGGGUCGACGAACAACUCGGCUGGAGCUAUAGUGACAUCCACAUCUGUAGCCGCAGCACCCAUCCCACCUGACCACAUAGAGGACUGCAGUGUCACAGCCUUGAGAGUAGACAUCAACUCAAAUCAAGAAGUAGACGAAAAAGCCAGAGAGAGAGGGGAAACAUCCGAUUAUUCAGCUCAUGCUGGAGAUGUGGCUUCGGUCGUCUCAGGAGACCCUCAGACUCAGAACUACCAGAAUUUAUUGUUGAAAGCUGAUCUGGAAUCAGUGACUGGAUUACAGGAUCAUAGUCUCAGUACCUCGGAGUCGGAUUUCCCUGUUUGGGUCCUGCGGGAGGACAGUCCUCAGACAAUGAUGAACAAGGACAAUCAACAGCCACUAGCGGGGACACCAACCAUCGCCACCAACCCAGCACCCCCCUCUCAAGCUUAUUCUGCAGCACCACGAGUAAGCUUCCUGCACCCAGCAGAAGGAUCCGUGCCCGACACCCACGGGCCUAAGGCCACUGAGAUGGAGAUGGACAAGCCAAGCCAGAAGCCUUUCCACCAGGCCCCGGCCCCAGCCCCAGCACCUACCCAACCCAACGUGGCUCCCAGCCCCCAUUGCCCCAGCAGCACUAACAGUUGGGUUAGCAGUGCAAAGCAGAAGGAGGCUGGUGAGAAGCCAAGAGGUCCACAGAGUGGUUCACAAGUGUUCCUUAGAAGUCCAGAAGAGCGCAAGACCUUUCUGUAUGCAGUCAAGGAGAGGUCCUCAAAGGUACCUGGAGACACGUACAGGAACGCAGUGACAAGGAGUCUCUCCACAUCUAUAGCUGUCACUCAAUCCAGUGUUGUGACCUCACCGGCUUCUUCUUCAGAGCCUUCUGUGGUGAGCUCAGCUAUGUCAAAACCCACAGUCUCAACAGUUGCUGCUCCAUCCUCUGUGAUCAGUGCUGCUCGUCCCUCCAUGAUAAAGCCUGUUCCAGCUCAGAAGGUGAGUUGCUGUUUAGGUUCUGUGUGUGCAGAGAUGUGCUGCUACUGA